CAAAAAGGAGGACACAACACGUGAGUGAUUCCUUCAGCGUUCCCUCUGUACAGGACACCUGGAAACUUGGUGAGCUGGAAGAAAGAUGAGAGGGCCUCUGCAGGAGCAGCAGCUGCCUGACCUACAUUUCAGUAGGGAUUACAGAACCCAGCUGCUCCAGCUGGCGUGUGCAGAGAAUGGAACCCCUUACAUGAGCUUUGCUGGGAGCUCCUCCUUUCCCUGACUUUAUCACCAUGACAUCACCAAAACGCACCACAUGGUCAUUAUUAAGCUGACAAGACACUACAGUCUGAAACCAAACUGCAACAGAACAAAGAAAAAGAAAUCAAACAGAAGAAAACAAUCCCAGCUGAAUACCACUCACUCCCCACUCCUUUCUGUGCAAGUGCUCUCUAUUGCUUGUCUGUUUUCACCUAACAGCGUUCCUCUUAUAUUAAUUUUAUCCCAUUUCCAGUGCUAUGUGAAGCCUGAAUUUCUACUUUGUACCAACAAGCUGGUAUCUACAAUAAUUCUAGUAUUUUACUAAAAUUUUAGCUAUUCUUCAAUGAGUUCACUUUCAAAAACUGCCAUCAUAACUUUGGCUACACAACUGAAGUUGAAACAAGCAACCAAGCACAGACACCCAGAGAUGGUGACAGGGUCUGCUUGCUUUUAUUUAGCUAGGAAAAAUCUGUAGGCAUCCUAAAAAUUUGACAAUGGGUUUCAGCUGGAGAAACUGGAAGUGUAGAAUACUGAUUCCCUGCAAUCAGCCCAGUUCCUGUACUGGGCUCUAUGUUUCAUAGUCUAGAAUAUCCCUUCGGCCAGCUCAGGCCAGCUGCUCCCUCCCAGCCUCCUGUGCCUCUCCUCACUGGCACAGCAUGAAACACUGAAAAGAUUGUACACUCACUCCUUUGGCCAGCAGGUUUUGCCCUGCAUGUUGUUAAGUAGGAAAUACUUUCACUGAAAUAUAAGCCACUAACAGACACCUACAAUCAAAGUAAAUUUUUUAUUUCCACAAGUGAUACAGACUCAGAAAAACUGCAAUUAAACAACAACAAAAUAAUUAGGGGUAAAACCUGCAGUCUCACAAACCUCUGUACUAUCCUCCUCUCUGUUCAGCUCCUCACUCCCACAGAUCAGGAUGAAUUCAUCUCCUGUCCACACCACAUCACAACACACUAGACCAUGUCUGUGGUGUGACACUAGACCAUGUCUGUGUGCAAGAAAGAACAGGGACACACACCACUGAUAGCAGCUCUGCUCUUAACAUUCCAGUGGAAGUGCACACAUGCACUGACUCACUCAGCAUGAGGCACAUACAAAAAUAUUCCAAAACCACACUGUGCUGCUGAGGAUUUGUGAGCUCUGGUGAUUGUAGAAAAAAUAACCACCAACAAGGGCUACACAUGGCCUGAAUUCCCCUGAAGUCACACAGUGUGCACUUGUAAAAGCCAAGAGGCUUUGAGCCAUGACUCAGCAGCCCACGGAGGGGAGAAUGGAGCCACCUGUAGUCGUGGGGACAGUGGGGACAGAGAGUGCCCUGAAAUUACAACCAUGCUGACACUUCUAAAUACAUACUCACACUGGAGAUCUGCUUCUCACAAAAUACAGGCAAGAUACACAUCCAGAGGGUAAUAUGGAGGAUAAACUGCUUUGGAGAGGGUAAGGAAAUGAAGGGAUGGUUACACAAGGAACAUGGGCCAUCCUCCUAAUUUCAAAUACCUUGUUAGUAAGUGUAGCAACACUACACCACAGCCUGCCUUCAGCAGGAGGGCCAAAGGGACUCAAGAGUUUCAUUGUUCCUUUUCUCAUGCAAACUGUGCUGACCUCAAAAGAGUUAUCAGCUGCUGGCUCCCUAUAAAUCAGAGCCUUAUGCAGCCUGGCUGAUUCCUUUCUGUCUUUACAGACAAUUUACCUUCCGUGUCAGUGCCUCAGGGCCACAGCUCCCCAGCCUUGGACAGACACAUCUCCCUGGCUGGGAGGGCUGGGGCAGAGCUGACACACUGGCAAUUCCAGCACCUUUUCGUUAAAAGCUUAUGAAGCUUUAAUUGAAAAUUUAGACAGUAAUAGGCAUUAUUUAGGAUCCAUGAUUAAUAUUUCUUGAGCUGAAUUAAGAUUUAAUACAUAAAGUCAAGCGGAUAAAGCUGGGAUUUUGUGCUGGUUCAGUUGAGGUUUGCACUUUGGUGGGGUUUUUUUUUCUUUUUAAAGCAGCUGUGAUAAAAACUGAAUUACAUUUAGGACAAUUCUCUUGAUUCAUCUACAGAUGUGACCCAGAAGCAAAUCUCCAACAGGCAGAUUAUUUCAGGACAGGAUGGAACAUGUGGAAGGAUUUUUAAUAACCUGAGGAGGCCUUAUGUAAGCCCUACACUUUAGAUUUAAUAGAGACCAACAAUUGCUUCUGAUGCAGCAGCAUUCAGCCCGGGAGGAGUCAGGGAGAGCAAAGAGGCAGCGGAGAUGUGUACAGAAGGUUGACCUUCAAUUCUACAAGCAUCUUAGAAGUCCAAGUCACAAACUUGAAAAGGACAGAAGUUGUCAGAGACCAGGCAAGUGUUUUUCUGUUAGUUGAAAUUGUGUUUUAAUUGGUUAUAUGUGCAGGACUGUUAAA